UGGACUUUCUCUCUGAAGUGAACCCUGGCUCUGAGACCAGGUGUGGCUAACGUCUCAGUCAGCGAGAACCAAGAGCGGUCUGGUGCUACAGAUAGACAGGCGGACGGCAGGAACACUCAUUCACUGUCCCCGUCCUCAAACAGAAGCGCACAAUCGACCGGGACUGCCUGUGCCAUAACGUGGCUGAUGUUCUUGCCUUCAAAGUGUCUUUAUGCUGUAGAUACACGCCGAGGGGUAAAAAAAACAAAACAAAAAAAAAAAACCCCGGCCCUGGGCGUUUUGACUGACGGAAUGACUGGUGGACGUGCUAAGGUGAGAAGCCGGAAGACAGCUUUUUGGAAGGAUCCAGAUAAAGACAUAGGGAGACAACUUGGCAGACGAAUAAGCAGAGAGAGCGAGAGAGAAAAAGGACUGCAUUAACAAGCGAGUGGAGACUGUACGUUGGCAAAUGCUACACCAAAACAGCCAACAGGCUAACCAUCAAAACGACUGGCACAGAGCCUAUGGAACAUAUAAAACAGUCAAACAAACAAACAGAAACUAUAUAACAGACAAAAACACAACGUUAGAAAGAAAGCCAGACAGAUGGAGGGAUAAAACGAUAACAAGACAGACAGAAGGGCAGCCAAACAGACAAUUGUAUACUUUUUUUUUAUUGUUUGGGGCUUUUGCCUUAUUGUUAAACUAUGGAAGCUUGUUCCUGCUAGAGAAUAAUAAUAAAAAAGAUAAUUGUGA